AGGGAGAAGCCCAGCGCAUAACCUCUCGGGCCACCCGGCCUGCAGCGGAAUUUUGCGUAAAGGGAACGAUCAUGCACUCGUGCUCACGCACGGGUGUCUGCCCAAUGGCACAUAGCAUUCGACCUAAGUCCAGGGGUGAAACUCUGCCGAGUGACUAGUUUGCUCUACUUCUCCAUGGAGGGUGAAAGACCCGUGUGGCGAAUGCAUAGUGUCUGGGUUUGAUUGUUGUUUCCCUGAGAGUCGCGUUGCUUGAGCAUGCAGCGCAAAGCAGGACGUAGACUCGUCCUAAGGCUAAAUAUUUCCACAGAACCGAUAGCGAACAAGUACCGUGAGGGAAAGUUGAAAAGGACUCUGAAGAGAGAGUUAAAAGACCGUGAAACCGUACAGGGCAGAGACUGAUGGAUUUGGCUUUCCGGUGGCAAUGAGAGGGAUGCUUGA
rnacentral:rRNA from 1 species